UACGUAGGGGGCAAGCGUUGUCCGGAAUCAUUGGGCGUAAAGAGCGUGUAGGCGGCUCGGUAAGUCCGCUCUGAAAGCCCGGGGCUCAACCCCGGGAGGCGGGCGGAUACUGUCGGGCUAGAGUCCGGAAGAGGCGAGUGGAAUUCCUGGUGUAGCGGUGAAAUGCGCAGAUAUCAGGAGGAACACCGGUGGCGAAGGCGCCACUCUGGGCCGAAACUGACGCUGAGGAGCGAAAGCGUGGGUAGCAAACAGG
rnacentral:rRNA from 1 species